GGGGGUUGGGUGCUCUGAUAAGGAAAAUCUGGACAUUUUUGCCAAUGUGCAAUGACAAGUGGAGGGACAAGAUUUGGGGACAGGAUCUAAACCCCCCAAAACACAGCAUAGGAAAUGUUCCACCUGUUGUGAAAACAAAAAGGAAGGAGGGUAGUAAAAGAAGGCUGAAGCAUUUCUAGCUUCAGAAUUCAGCUGUGUAAAAAGAAGUAGUAAAAAUCACAACUACGGAUGAACUCCGUAGAUGGUCUUAGAGGAUGGAAAGAGCUGUACUGCAUCCUGUGACUACCAGAAAGCAGACACACAUGGGGGAGUUAAUAAACAGAUCAUAAGACAGGGUAGAUAUUCGGAAGAGCUAUGGCUGCUGUUCAGGCAGGAGGUUCUGUGCUCUGUGGAGCAUGCUUGAAUCCAUGAGUCAGUGCUGUCUAUGCUACAGCUAUUUAGCACCAAACAUAACAGCUGUUAGCUGUAUAACAGCUAUUUAGCACCAAACAUACAGCUAUUAGCACCAAGUCAUAGCAAGGUCUGUGAUGAUAGAACAAGGGGAAAUGGUUUCAAGCUCAAGGAGGGUAGAUUUAGGCUAGAUAUAAGGAAAAAAUUUCUUACGGUGAGGGUGGUGAGGCACUGGAACAGGUUGCCCAGUGAUGUGGUUGAUGCCCCAUCCCUGGAGACUUUCAAGGUGAGGCUGGAUCAGGGCCUGGGCAACCUGAUCUAGCUGCGGUGUCCCUGUUCAUUGCAGGGGAGUUGAACUAGAUGGCCUUCAGAGGUCCCUUCCAACUCUAAGGGUUCUGUGAUUGUAUGACAAAACAAGAAGCUCUCCAGGCUGUUUAUUCUGUCUCCUACAGAUAUAGGUGGUGAUGAAGCAAAUAUGGUUAGAGUUUGAUUUCUUCUGAAAAGAGUUUGAUUUCUUCUGAAAGAUUUAAGCUCUUGGUGCACAUGUACUUGGUCUGCAAUGCCAGACCUUCCCCUGAAGCGGACAGGUACAAAGUUGUGGAAGGCUUUUCCUCCAGAUUCUUGGGGAGAAAAUAGGCUGCCAUCCUCGGCUGUCAGUUGAGGGCCUUUACUGCCACUUGUGCAGUGUGAGAUUUGGGAGUUUGCUAGCCGUGCCUUCCUCACACAGCCCCUGGCACCACCCCUGCAUUCACAGAACAAUUUACAUCUCUGGCGUGUCACCUCUCCAAGGUGACCUCACCUAAGAAACACCAACUCAAGGGGGAUGUUCAGAGAGCUCUGCAAGGCAUUCAUUUGGCUAUAUGCGGCGUUCAGCUCCCUUUUUCUAUGCCUUGGUGUUUAUGCACCUACCAAACCCCCCCCUUGUGAUCUUCCUCCCACAGACGAGCCUCGCUGGUGCUUCUGGGCUGCUCCUCCCUUCCCCAGCCAGCUUCUUGCUCUGACAAAUUCUCCCUUGGCAACAAUAGCUCCCGCUGGGUCCCUCCCAGUCUGUGGUCAUGGCUACUGGGGUGUGCGGCGUUCUGCCCACCUGAGUCAGAAAUGCUGAGCAGCCGUGCCGACAGCAGAACAAAGAGCAACUCAUCGGCGGGCCUGUGCUGGGGCUGGCUGUGAGGGGGGCUGGAUGUGUGAAUUGCUGGCUUCACCGCUGCAAACUCUCCCAUUAUAUUUUGCAGUUCUGAAAACCAGUCCAAAUUUAGGAGGCUGUCCUGCGUGUAAUUUAAAACUGCCUUUUCUUCGGAGAAAAAAAAAUAAGUUACAAAAAUACAAAUAUUUCCCUACCUAAAAAAAAAAAAAUGACCCUGUGUAAUAUUUGGGGAAUAGAAAAGAAUCCCCAAAUGAGGCUACGAAUAUAGGCAGUAUAUUAUUUUGAUUGCGUUGUUCUAAUAGGCUAUUUUUACAGAUCUGUAAAUGUUUGAAAGGAUUUAGGAUAAAGAAGGCACAUAUGUUUAUUAAUUCAUUCAUUUAUUUUGCUCCUAGAGCCUUAAAAUAGAAAUCGUACCUCCAUGUUUGCUAGAAAUCUUUCUUUUCUGUUGUUUUAUUCAAAGGGCUUCCUAGGGAAGCUGCUCUUUUUGUUUGCAUUUUGAGGGAAGAAUCUUCAGUGAAUCUCUCUGAAAUGUUUUCAGGGAAGGCUGACUGAUGAGUCUGCACUGAUACUGCAAAAACAGGGCCUGUGAGCAGUGCGGAGCUAGCGGGUGCUCGUUCUGUAACUCACCCAUUCAUUCGAUGCGUGCCUUUUUCUGAAUCGAGUGCACGUCCUCCUCCAGCAUCACACCUCUUGCAUCUUCUCUGGAGCACACGUUCCUUAAUGUCAAGCGAGCGGCCUCACACAUUGUGCUGGCUGCAGGUGCUAAAGGGAACGCCUUUUAUCAGGCUUGGGGGGCACUACCAUGUCUGUUUUUUGUGUGGAGGUGAAAAUGGCAGAUUUCUGCACCUCUUUGUUUCUUUCCAUCUUGUUUUUAUGAUGAAUUAAGGUUUGAUUUGUUAUCUGUGUGUUGGUUUUGGUCUUUCUCCAUACUGUUUACUGCUUCUAGGAAGGUGCUAGGGAAUGCUGAUAUUCCUUGGAAAGCUAACCAGAGCUUAUUUGAUUUGCACAGUAGUAUUUGCUGGAUAAGACACCACAUGGCUGUAACCCUGGCCAGCAUCUAUCAUUGCUCUCAGCAUCAAUAUUCUGCUGUUCAUUUUUGUACAAAUAUAGAAUCAUAGAAUCAUUUGGCUUGGAAAAGAUGAGUAAGGUCAUCUCAUCCAACCACUGACCCAUUCCCACCCUGCCCACUGACCACAUCCCUCAGUGCCACAUCUCCGUGUCUCUUGAACACCUCAAGGGAUGACUACUCCACCACCUCCCCGGGCAGCCUGUGCCAAUGUCUCACCACUUUUUCUAAGAAUAGUUUUUCCUGAUAUCCAACCUGAACCUCCCCUGUCACAACUUGAGGCCAGAAACCACUGUCCUAUGAAAUUUUAGCUAAAGGUCUCCUUGUGGGGCCCAGUAACAAGAGUGUACCCUGUGAAAAUGGAUUUCUCUUCUGUAAGACGGAGUGAAUUGAAUCUGGGUCUUCCACAUCCUGGGUAAAUGCUCACUUCAUUGAAGAGCUGAAUUAAGGUAAUGGGGGAAGAGAAGAUAGACAACUUUCUAAAGGCAUUCAAGGCCAGGUUGGCUGGGGCCCUGGGCAACCUCAUCUAGUGGGUGGCAACCCUGCCCACAGCAGGAGGUUGGAACUGGAGGGUCUUUAAGUCCCUUCCAACCUCAGCCAUUCUAUGAAUCUAUGAUUCUACGGAAUUCCUUCACCGUUUGAAAGGAAAAUGUGACACCCACUUGCUCUUCCAGCUCACUCCAGAAGGAGUAUCUGGCUCUUAACUCCAGGCAAAGAGGGGCUCUCUCCCUGGUGCCAGGUUGCAGGCAGGACUGAGGCUGCCCCGCUGACUUUGUGCAGGAGACCUGGCAGCAGUAGCAUGCUCAGGAUAUGGCUGGCAUGGCUCUGGUGGGGCUGCAUCAUGCAUGGAAGACAGAAGGGAUCUGUCUACACGUGCCUGCACCAAAAUCUUUCCAGAACUUUAUAAGAGCUUGCAGAUGGAUGUGACGGAUGGAGAGCUGAAUUGGGAUCUGUUGGGUCUAAUUGAGCCUUAAUUAUAAUACAUUAAACAAUUAAAAUAAUGAAGAUCGGGCACAAUCAAGUCUCAAAACAAAGAGAUUUAGCAAGAUUAGGCUUUUAAAACUGUACAGAUGAUGCCAUUAAUCUUGGAGGAGCUCCAACAUAAACGGUACAAUUCCCAGACAGCUGGGAGGACAGCAAACCAGAGGAAUGCAUUUAUGGCACUUUGUCAUCGGUGAGAAAAACCUGCUGUGUGAAGCUGGGCUCCCCCCGGAACCCCAGAGCUGAUGGAAGGAAGGUCCUGGAACCUGGGCACAAAGCAGCCUUAAGCUUUUUGUUGGAGGCAGAGCGAAGUGUGACAGCUGUAAUGGGAGAGUGGGUAAAUGUGACCAAAAGCCCGGCCUGAAGUUCACAGCGAAACUGAAGUGCUGCACCACUUUCAAGGAGGAGAAUUUGGGCCAAGGAUUCAGCGACGGACAUCUGAAGAACUCAGAAAAAAACAACAACCAAGGGAUGGGGAAAACAGAACAAAGGAAGAGACCGGCUCCCUUUCACAGCCACCUCCUUCUCUUACGGCUCCUCAGCAGACACGUGAGCGAGCUCCUGCGGGGUGGGUGCCACGCGCACUGAGAGCAGAGUGCUGCAGACCCGUGCUCCGAGCAGGCGGCAGACGGACAGGAGCAGCGCUGCCUGACUCCGGGCUGACCCAGGAACCCAAGAUUUUUGGCAUAGUGGUCUUGACCUCUCCUUUCUGUCCUGUCAGCUGUUAUUUCCCAGUGCCCUUGGAUAGGCUGAAUUUGCUCUUCCUCGCGGCCUUUAUAUAGUUCCCCCCUCCCCAUACUUCUGUUAGGCUUUUAGAUCUUUGGGCGAAUCUUGGAACUGCGGAUUAAAAUCCCACAUCUCAGCUUUUAUGAAAAGAUUUGCCGAGGUCUGGGUGUUGCUGGAAGCCUGAUAUUCUGCACCAUUUACUGGCUGUGAAUUAUGUAGAUACUCAUAUUUUUAAUUUCCUUUCAUUUAGUUGUGUGUGCAGGACCUCUGUCAUGACCAGCAGGGAACUCUCCUGGGUACAAAGAGGCUAUUCAGCUCCUGUGCCAACCCUGGCUCGUAAAAGCCUGACAGCUCUCAACAAACAAAGCCUAGAAAUGUUGCUAUUAAAAGCAUUUAUUGAAUAAAUCCAUAUGUGACAAAAUGAUAGCUGCAAAAAGCGGUGGAAUUGUUUUUUAAUGGAUAAAUCUUAUUUGAAAAGUAAAGCAGAGCUGCAGAAGCUCAGAGAACAGUCACCUGAGGAUAGAGCUUUGAGCAACGUGGGAAAAAUUAGAACCACUCUGAACAAUAUAGGAGAUAAUAGUUUGCAGAACAUGUCUGCUUUGAGUGGGAGCUUUUAUGUAAAGAAAAGAGAGGAUAAGCCUGGCUUUAACUUUUGUGUUUGAACGCUCUCACAAAUAGAGGUAGGAGAGCAAAUCUUCAUUCCCUUCAGCAAACCCACAGCAGCUGGAAACAGGAGGACCCCUGUUCUGCAUAGGGUCGGUGGGCUGCAAAGGGCACCGUGGGCAGACCCCUGUCUCCCAGCCAGCUGCGUGGUGGGCUGCAAGGCCUUAUGCCUGCCUUUGCACCUUGUCUGUGUGCAGAGACACCACUGCAGUGUGCCCUGCCUGAUGCACUCUCUUCUCCUCUCCCCUUGAGAGGGAAGGAAAAGGGCUGCCUGCCCAGGAAGGGGCUCUGUAGGGUUUUCCCUAUUCCCAUGGCACAGCACCAGCCCUUUGCUCUGUGCGCAGCCCUUGCGCAUGAGGGAGGCAGGGUGCUGAGCUCAGGUGGCUGCGAUCUCCUGAGAGGGUGGAGCAGAGGAGCAGCAAUUGUGUAAGGGCUAUUAUAGCAUCUGAGGAGCAGCUCUGCUAGAAAUCCAGAAUUGCCAUGGGAGAGGAUCCUAUUUCUAUGUCUCUCUGCUUAGACCUUCUUUGCUUUGGUCUUGCUUGGGUUCUCUAGACACCAAAGAAAAGGAAAAAGAAUGCCAUUCUUUGAAGAGAGGCAUCUGGACACUAUUUAGCCUCAAACAUAAACCAAGAGCGGCUAUCUCGAUUGUUUCAUAGGUUGCUGAAAAGAAUCUGUUGUGAUGGGCUCUUGGCAGGUGACAUGUGGGGGUGGAGAGCCCUUUGCUGGGACUGGCAGAGGCAGAUGCCGUGACCUCGAGGGCCAAGAAUGCCUCUCCAGGAGUGAGGGGUCUCCAGUGAGGGCAGACUGCUCCCUGACUGCCGCUGACGUACGUGAAUGCAGGAUGGAAAUGCUCACACUAAGGCAGGAAUUUCUUGGCACUUGUAAUGUCCACAUUAGGGAAAUAUUUUACAUCACUCCAGGGAUGGUCUAACUUGUCUGGUCUCUUCAAAGAGAUUGUUGGAGAAACUAUGAGAAGAGCAUCUCAGGAUUAUAGAAGUUUACUGGGGGAUCAGAUAGAAAUGAAAGGGGGGACAGAAAAAAUGUUAUGGGACAAUUAAAACAAAUAACAUUGGAAAACAUAACAAUGGAACUGAUCCUUCAGAAAUCCUGGAUGAACAUCACAAGAAAACUUGAUUUAAGAGGAUAUUUGGGAAGUAAUGAGUUCAAUCGAGAGAGGAACAGAUUUUCAAAGUCAAACAUAGGAAAACAGGCAGAAGCGCCUACUAUGUUUGGAAUAUUACACAUGCAGGUGCAAGUUCCCAAUUUAGAAAUGAGCUUCUGACAUUCCUGCUAGGAGCAAGUGAACGUUUGUGUGCACCUAUUGCUGCAGAUCAGCGCUGUCACGUAAGACUGUCCUGCUUUUGGAAAUGUCAAAAUUCUAUGGGAAAAAAUGCCCUUCUCCUCAGUUCCUUCUCAAUAUGGGAUGCCCAAUAUCAGUAAAACUGUAGCCCUCUUAUAUCAAGAUAGAUCUAUAUUGGCUUUUCCAUAAUAGCAGUUCUCGCAUCUACUGCUUCCCUAUGUGGUUGUGAUAUAUCAUCAAAGAAUGCCUUGUGCUCAGUGCUCACAAACCACCCUUUUAUCAGAAAACAUCUAUGUGAAAAAGAACAGUUUUACAAAAUCAAGGCUAUUUAGACUUUAAGAAGUGCCUGGGAUCCUUAAUUUCUGCUUUACUCUUCAAACCAAAGAGAUGAGUAAAAGUCAAAAAACUCAGUUUAACACCUUGCCCACGGAGAACAGCUAGAAAACAGAUAGUGGAGACACUUUGAGUUUACUACACCUGCAGAGUCUCUCCCUUGCAUUACUGACAUGUUCUGGCCCCAAACUUCAGUAGCUGCCACCCCAUGUCAGGGUCUCCUCUCUCUGCUGCAUGCCUUUCUCCCCUCGUCUGUUCCAGGGACAAACACCAUGGGAUCCUACCUCUGGGAAGAGCAGGAGAACUCCAUGAUGUCAGCUGGGCCCUCAGCAGUAACACCAUGGUUUUGCUGGAGGAGGAAUGCUGACAGCCCUGGCAGCAGCUGCUGUGUGGGGCAAAAGCAGGGCCCCAUCCCACGGCAGUACUUCUGCCUUCUCCCUUCCUAUCUGCAGCACAGGCAGCAGGCCUGGUUUUCCACCUCACUGCUGCCCUUCCUUCCCCUUUCCUGUGGCAGGAGCUGCCUGAGCCUGGCUCCUUGUCCUCCAGUUAGCAACUUUCAGUGCUGCCCGUUCUCCUGAGAGCCUGGAGGUGGCUCUGCCCCAGUUCCCCAUGGCAGAAGGUGGGUGGCUCCUGAUGCUGGGGAUUCACAGCCACACACUGUCCUCAGGCAGUGCACAGCAAAGGUAUGGCCCUGUCUAUCUUCUGAGUUCUCAGGGAAAAGUCAGAUGCUUCUGCUAAAUUAGGAUGCCGAGCUUGAAGCUGGAUUCCCCACAUGCAGAUGGGCCUCUUGGUUACAGCAAGGUCGGUGAGACUGGAGUGCUCAGCCCCACUCAGCCCAUGGGGGUUUCACUACCAGCUCACAGGACUGGGCCUCCUCACUGCAGGAUGUGCUGAGGAGCUGCUGCCCCUCCACACGGCCCUCACACAGCAAACUGCCUCUUCUGGGGAUUCAGGCAGCCUGCCCCGGCCUUGAACCUGCAUUACAAACUAGGGAAAACACCGGGCUCGCGUAUCUUUGAAACCACAUUGAGCCUCGCAUUGCUCUGUUUCUUCCAACAGUUCCAUGGCCAGGCACUGCCAUGUAUGAAGCCCUGGGAUGAGGCUUUCUGGCCAGUGCAGGGUGAUGGGUGUAGAACUCCUACCAUCAGGCAAGGCCUGGGACUGCGGUGCUCACUCUCAUCUCCAGAUUCUCCUUCCACAUCCUUGCAAACCAAAAAAGCCUUCUAACAGAGAAAACAGAACUUGACUCUCCCAUGCAAAAAUCCUGCCUGGAUCUCUGUUUGCUGGCUGCUUACCUUCCUGGCCUCUUCACGUGGAAAGCUGCUGUGUAACGUUAUUUAUUAACAACCCACUGGGAAUGCAGCAGGAUUAGUUAUAAUUUUUGCCUGUAUUCUUAAACACGUUGCACCUGAUUUCACCGCCCCUGGCAGAUGCUAGGAAUUCGGCCUUGUGGUGCUGGUCAGCAGGGUGAAUGCUCUGCCUCUGGGCUCUUGGUACCCCCGGGUUGUCUGGCUGUCCCCUAAGGUGGAUCCUAACUCUGGACACUCUCAGCCCUGGGUCCAUACCAGCCCCCCAGUAACAGGGCCAGCAGAAAAAGAAGUGUGCAAAGGAUUCUAACAUCCCAAUUUCAGCAGAUUUCACUUGGAUAUAGGGAGCUCCAAGCAGAACUGGUGGGCUGCAGGGGCCUGGCCCUGCGUCACCCUUGGUCAUUCCUGCACAGGGACAAACCAAGCCGACAGCCAUCACAGAAUCGCCCAGCGCUGUGUGGCAGAGACCUCAGUGUGACCCAGGAGAUGUAUUUGUAGCGCAGCCAAUCUCGUUUCAAUCACAGAGUCAUCCUUCCUUCCACGCCUCCGUGUCACUUGUUUCAACAGUGGCAGUGUUUCUCCAACACGAUGAAAUAAACAUGUGUAACAUAAUUAUUUCUUUUCUCCAGCUCUUGAGUUUAUCUAACCAAAGCAUUUUUAGGAGCUGGAUAACAGAGUAGAACGCCAGCCUCAAAAUUGUAACUUUUAAUGUUGGGUGAAAAAUUAAACCAAAUUUAAAAUAGAUAUUAAAUUUGAGAGAGGCUGAAAAAGUUCUGUUGGAACUUGGAGGAGUUUCAGACGUUAUUUUUAACCAUAGACAUUCAGCUCUUAUGGGAAACAAAACUUAGAAGGACAGAUAUAAUUAGGUCAGAUAUUGAGAAACUUAUUAUGCUUUGCUACAGAUGAUCCCAGGAGAAUGUAACUUAAGCCCUUUUUUUUUUGUAUUAAGAUUCAAUCAUGGCUCUUCACUUUUUUUUAUGUGGAGUUCUGUUCAAAGAAUAAAAUAAAGUAGGAUAGAAAUAUGCUUUGUAUUGCUAACUGCUUCAGCAUGUGAAGCAAUGAAUGUUUGACAAGAAAUCUAGGGACAGAAGGCAAGAUUUGUAUUUCAUUUUGUACCAAAAUACAUAACAUUAUGCUAGCAUCUGUGCCUGCUUUUGUUCACUGUGUAGAUACGUUGGUACGCUGAUGGUAGCGGUAUCUGCUGGGGUGCUUGGCAUCUCCAAAGCACCACCAUGCGAGAAUGAACUCUGCCUAGCAGCAUGAUUGCAACAUAGACGUUAUUCAUACUCUGGAUGGGGAAACUGAGGCAAAGAGCUUGAUGGUCAAUGCCAAGUCUGUUUCACAGUUGCAGUCAGGACCCUAGAGCUUCUACGCUUGGCUCCUUUUGCUUCUGCAGAGACAUUCACCUUCACAUGUGAAAUGUACGUCUCAUACAUAACCACAGGAGAAAAGCCUCUAUCAGAAGAAGAAACGAGCCAGUAGGUGGCUGACACCAGGUACUGCUAACACAUGGAUCUGUCAUUACUCAUAGCAUUCAUCAUGUCUGUUACUGAGGAACACUGUUCCUUACAGUAGGUGUCUAAUUUGCAGAAUACUGGUUUUCCCAGCGGCUCCAUCGAUCUGAGGGAAGCUUUGAUGAGUUGCCUGAGGUGAGACACUGCACAUCACUCAUUGAAAAGCCCUCUCUGAGAGCAGUGGAAGUGGACUGAGGCCAUGGUAGGCAGGACUUGAGCACCAAGUUUUCCUGCCGCAGCCCCACUGGCUCGGGAGCAGGAAAAUCAGUUCUCUCACUGACACAGAUUUGCUGGCACCUCUCCUGGAACCCACAGCCAAGGUAGACACAACAUAUACAAGCAAGAGAGCCUUAUGGCCAGAUAGCUCCCAAGUUUUAAAAAGAUGGUUCAGUUGUAUCGGCAGCAGGUCUCCAUUUGCUGGUGUGGAAUGUUUCUCCAUCCAGCAGGGAAUUCACGUGCACAGCUAUUAGGAAAACUUCUGCCGUUCUACACGGAUUCUCAGCAGGUGCUGAAAUGCAGGUUUUUGCAGUUAGAGGUGUAGGUAGAUUUGGAGUUUGGGUCCAACACUUCAUAGUAGGUGAAUGAAAGUGAAGGAGUCUCUUCCUGCUGACAGACCACAUCCAGUCCAGGAGUGGUGAGAAGCCACUUUUAAUCCAUCUUGAAUCUGAAGUAAAGAUUGUCAAAAUGCAUAAUUUUCUAAUGUAAGUAAAAAUCUCAUGGGUGGCCCAUAAGAAAUCUUCAUCAGGACAGGGUGGUGGAAGGUAACUGGUUCCUGCACUGCACUGGAAAGCAUAUAUUUGUGGAAACAUCAGACUUCUCUCCCUUCCACUGUUGCCAAUAUUCAGGACUUUAUUUGUGUUCUAUACUUGCAGACAGUAGAGAUUACAGCCACAGCUUUCCUGUCUGCCAUGGGAGGUAUCAAAGUUGAUGAGCCGCUGCUAAUUAUUGCUUAUGACUAGAAGGCAGUGAUAUUGCUCUUCACCUUCAAGGUGGUAAGUGGCAUCAAGAUAAUUCCCCGGAAUAUACAUUGUAUUCUUACUUUUCAAUGUAAAUUGCACUCCUAUUGAUGCAAUAGGCUGCAACUGUUUCUUCAAGCUGUGGAAAACUUGCAGUAAGCAAUAAAAGCCCCAGCCAUGUACUUCUGUUGGGUGCAAGUUCCUCCCCGUGUUUUGCUUGCUGAGCUUGCGACAGGGGCCAUGCUAACGAAACAAAUUCCCUAUCAGCAGUGCAUGAACUGUACAGCAAGUUUUGUUUUUCCACGUGGUUCAAGUAGAUCUGGGUUGAGGUUUCCCAAACAUACUAUUUCCUAUGUGCCAACACAGAACCUCACUGCUCUCCAAAAUUCAUCUCUGUUGAGUUACAACUCAAAGCCCAAAAGUAACCCUUCCAAGACUGUGCACCUCUUGGUAAUGUCAAUACCCUAAACUGAUAAAUGAAAACUUGUUGACAUUAAUACUGGCAGAGAAUACGCGUACCUUCCUAUGCUGAGUAACUCUUCAGUCACACUUCUAUGGCAGUCCUUUCUUUCCCAGCUGCUUCUCUUCUCUCAGUCAUCUGUCAAGUCUAUCUCAAGUCUUGGCUUGUACUGCUUGUACAGUUCUGCAAAGCAAGUAAAUUCCCUCACUCAGCGUACACUGGCUGAAGGAAAGUGGAGUCUUUUCCUUUUUUUCUUUCUUUUUUCUCCCCCAUGGGAAUUGGUAUAACUUUUCUCAAUCUAAAAAAAAACUACUCCAGCUAAAUUACUGUUGUGUUGUUUUUUUCUUCUGCACCCGGACUCAACUUUUUCCAGCAUGAAAACAUAAUAUGGAUGUUUAACUCUGCACACUAACGACUGAUGUAGCAAUAUCAGCUCUCUCCUGGCACAAUGGCCGAGCUCUGAAUUUGACAUUUGGGUGUUCCCUGCUGUAGGCAGCCUGUGUUUCUGGAGUAGAGGCAGGGAAGCAGACUAUACAGAAAGCAAACUCUGCCUUAGGUUUUCAGGAUGCUCAGCUAGAUGAUGUUAUCAGGCAAACACAGAACUUCAUCCUCAGGCUUUGACAGGAGAAAGCAAAACCAAACCUGGUUUGAUACCAGAGAGACACUGUCUAUUUGAAAUAGAGCCAGCUUUUGAAAACAAGUUAGAAGUCAUCUCCUUGCCAAUUUUUGUGGGUGUUCAUCGUGCCUGGAUAGCAAGAAAAUUCCUGCAGGGAAUCUCAUGAAUGUCAGAGCUAGCAGGUAACGAAGAGCUAAGCUCCUGCAGAAUUUCUUUCUUCCUUCCUUUGAGGAGGAGGACGAGAAGGGAAGGCAGAUGGUAACUCUUCGCUGGAGCACUGUGUGUAUGUCUGUUUUUUGAAGCUUUACCUCUACCGAAUCAAUGUGUUUGAUUAAAGAAUUGCAUUCUUCCUGCAGAAAACAGAAGCAAGAUAUCAGCAUGUUCAAUGGCUGCAUUCCCCUGAGUGGAGGAAAAGUACCUGGGAAAGCAGUGAGAGGAGAGAUGAGGAGCAGCCUGCUGCAGAAAGAACUGCUGUCUAGAAGAGAACAUAUCAGGACAACUGCCAGCAUACUGAGCGAGAGGUGUUGGGAGUGUUUGUUGUUCACACUUAACAACCUGAUGUGAUUUAUCGUGCUUUUAUUUCGUCUCCCUCCAAAGAUGUUAUGUCUGUUUAAAUACAGUUUUCACUCUGUUGCUCACUACCGGAGAUGCUUCACUCAAGGAGCCCCAGGUAAUACAAUGCAGCUUCUCCCUGGAAGCCCAAAAUAGUGUUUAAAUGCUUUUCUGCAAAGACUCCGUAAAAAUUGAACACAACCUCUGCUUCGUUAGUCAGUUUGUGGCAGAACAGCAGGAAAGCCUGUCUGAACUUGAAUCUUAUGGCUGUAUUAAGACAUAUUUUUUCACAGUAAAGACAUAGACUUGGACUCCAUCAUCUCAGAAUAAAAGAGCAUAUCAAAAACCCUUCUAAGGUAUUAUUUGUUCAUUAGACUCUGAUCAUAUUCUAGGGAAGACAAAGCAGUACAUCCUUUUCAAGGGAAAUAUUUCCUAUUUCCUAAAUUUUGAGGUAUAAGUCGAGUUUACUUCAGCCAGAUGGGGAGUCCAUCACACUGCAGGAGCCAGCACAGCAUGGCGGGGUUGUUAAAAACAUAUUUAAGUCUAUGCUAAAUGCACUGAAUUUUAUUAGUUUCAGCAGCCACCUUUCUGAAAACACUGUAUUUCAACACAUUCAAAAUGAAACCCUUUUUUUUUUUUUCCACAUGAAAAACCCUUUCCUUUCAAGUUUUACCUACACUUAUUUUAGUGAAAAUCAGCUUAUCUCCCCAAAAUAAAACACGCCUCUUGCCAUUGUGCCAGCUCCCAUGUUUUGUUUCUUUGCUGGCUUUCACUUUUACCAUGAAGAUUAAAAAAGCUCUCAGUCCAGAGCAGCCACAGACCUUCUGGCUCUUCAUCCAUUGGGUGAAAGCAAGAACUCAGUAAUUUGUGAAGUUGGGCAGAACCAAGGGUGUUCACCCACUGUGGGCAGGCAACACCGCUUCCCUCACAGAAGCACAGAGCACACCAUCAGACAAGGGCUUGGGGAGCUCCCAUUAACACCUCCAUGGGGUGCCAAUUAAUUGGGUUAAUUGGCAGCCUGAGUCAUGAAGUACAAUGUCAUGCUCAGGGCUGGCCUGGAAGAGUGUGACGCCUGGUAGGGUGCAAGUGGCUCUGGUUGCCAUUGCAGCCUCCUGGCCUUCCAGAAUCUUCCCCAGCCUUGAACUGGGAAGAU